CCUACGGGAGGCAGCAGUAGGGAAUAUUGGGCAAUGGAGGCAACUCUGACCCAGCCAUGCCGCGUGCAGGAAGAAGGCGUUAUGCGUUGUAAACUGCUUUUAUAUAGGAAGAAAUAGACCUUGCGAGGUAAGUUGACGGUACUAUAUGAAUAAGCACCGGCUAACUCCGUGCCAGCAGCCGCGGUAAUACGGAGGGUGCAAGCGUUGUCCGGAUUUAUUGGGUUUAAAGGGUGCGUAGGCGGUUUAUUAAGUCAGUGGUGAAAGACGGUCGCUCAACGAUUGCAGUGCCAUUGAUACUGGUAGACUUGAGUGGGAUUGAGGUAGCUGGAAUGGAUAGUGUAGCGGUGAAAUGCAUAGAUAUUAUCCAGAACACCAAUUGCGUAGGCAAGUUACUAAGUCUCAACUGACGCUGAGGCACGAAAGUGUGGGUAUCAAACAGGAUUAGAUACCCUGGUAGUCCACACUGUAAACGAUGAUAACUAACUGUUGGCUUUCGGGUCAGUGGUACAGAGAAAUCGUUAAGUUAUCCACCUGGGGAUACGCCGGCAACGGUGAAACUUAAAGAGUAGUACGACGNGNGAGAGACGACGACGACGACGAGGAGGAGG
rnacentral:rRNA from 1 species